AACCCGCAGCAACUAGAAAGAGAGAAAGAAGGAAGAGAGAAGAAAUAGAGAGGAGGAGAAAGAGAACGUAAAAGAAAGAAAGAGAGGGCUGUAUUUUCUGUAAUCACAGAAACCUUACACCCAUUGUAUUUAUAUUGAAUAUAAUUGUAUAUAACAAUAAUAUCCUUAUGUAAGUAAAAAAGGAAAUAAAACUCUGAUAAUAAAGGAAACUUAAUAAAGUAACUUAACACUCCCCCUCAAGCUGGAGCAUAUAGGUCGCCUAUACCCAGCUUGGAACAACCAGCAACAAAAAAGCAAG
rnacentral:lncRNA from 1 species